GAGGGUAGAGCUCAGCAGUAGAGCGUGUGCUUAGCAUGCACAAGGUCCUGGGCUCAAUCCCCGGUGCCUCCA
rnacentral:tRNA from 1 species